rnacentral:rRNA from 1 species
AACGUAGGAGGCAAGCGUUGUUCGGAAUUACUGGGCGUAAAGGGCUCGUAGGCGGCCGACUAAGUCCGACGUGAAAUCCCAAAGCUUAACUUUGGAACUGCGUCGGAUACUGGAUGGCUUGAAUUCGGGAGAGGGAUGCAGAAUUCCAGGUGUAGCGGUGAAAUGCGUAGAUAUCUGGAGGAAUACCGGUGGCGAAGGCGGCAUCCUGGACCGACAUUGACGCUGAGGAGCGAAAGCUAGGGGAGCAAACGGG